AGGAUGAACGCUGGCGGCGUGCUUAACACAUGCAAGUCGAACGGUGAAGUGAGGAGCUUGCUCCUUGCGGAUCAGUGGCGAACGGGUGAGUAACACGUGAGUAACCUGCCCUUGACUCUGGGAUAAGCACUGGAAACGGUGUCUAAUACCGGAUACGACCUCCGAAGGCAUCUUCUGGAAGUGGAAAGAAUUUCGGUCAAGGAUGGACUCGCGGCCUAUCAGCUAGUUGGUGAGGUAACGGCCCACCAAGGCGACGACGGGUAGCCGGCCUGAGAGGGUGACCGGCCACACUGGGACUGAGAUACGGCCCAGACUCCUACGGGAGGCAGCAGUGGGGAAUAUUGCGCAAUGGGCGAAAGCCUGACGCAGCGACGCCGCGUGAGGGAUGAAGGCCUUCGGGUUGUAAACCUCUUUCAGCUCCGACGAAGCGAAGUGACGGUAGGAGCAGAAGAAGCACCGGCCAACUACGCGCCAGCAGCCGCGGU
rnacentral:rRNA from 1 species